rnacentral:rRNA from 1 species
UACGGGGGGGGUAAGCGUUGUUCGGAAUUACUGGGCGUAAAGGGCUCGUAGGCGGCCAACUAAGUCAGACGUGAAAUCCCUCAGCUUAACUGGGGAACUGCGUCUGAUACUGGAUGGCUUGGAUUCGGGAGAGGAAUGCGGAAUUCCAGGUGUAGCGGUGAAAUGCGUAGAUAUCUGGAGGAACACCGGUGGCGAAGGCGGCCGACUGGUCCGGUUCUGACGCUGAGGCGCGAAAGCGUGGGGAGCAAACAGG